CCUACGGGAGGCAGCAGUGGGGAAUAUUGGACAAUGGGCGCAAGCCUGAUCCAGCCAUGCCGCGUGAGUGAUGAAGGCCUUAGGGUUGUAAAGCUCUUUUGCCAGGGAAGAUAAUGACUGUACCUGGAGAAUAAGCCCCGGCUAACUUCGUGCCAGCAGCCGCGGUAAUACGAAGGGGGCUAGCGUUGUUCGGAAUCACUGGGCGUAAAGCGCACGUAGGCGGACUUUUAAGUCAGGGGUGAAAGCCUGAGGCUCAACCUCAGAACUGCCCUUGAUACUGGGAGUCUUGAGUAUGGUAGAGGUUGGUGGAACAGCAAGUGUAGAGGUGAAAUUCGUAGAUAUUUGCUAGAACACCAGUGGCGAAGGCGGCCAACUGGACCAUAACUGACGCUGAGGUGCGAAAGCGUGGGGAGCAAACAGGAUUAGAUACCCUGGUAGUCCACGCCGUAAACGAUGGAUGCUAGCCGUUAGCCAGCUUGCUGGGUAGUGGCGCAGGUAACCCUUUAAGCAUCCCGCCUGGGGAGUACGGUCGCAGAUUAAAACUCAAAUGAAUUGACGG
rnacentral:rRNA from 1 species